rnacentral:rRNA from 1 species
UACGGAGGGGGCGAGCGUUAUUCGGAAUUAUUGGGCGUAAAGGGCGCGUAGGCGGCUUAGUAAGUCAAAGGUGAAAUCCCUCGGCUCAACCGAGGAAUUGCCUUUCAAACUGCUUGGCUUGAGGCCGGGAGGGGGUAGCGGAAUUCCCAGUGUAGCGGUGAAAUGCGUAGAUACUGGGAGGAACACCGGUGGCGAAGGCGGCUACCUGGACCGGUUCUGACGCUGAUGCGCGAAAGCGUGGGGAUCAAACAGG